GAUGAACGCUGGCGGCGUGCCUAAUACAUGCAAGUCGAGCGAACUGAUUAGAAGCUUGCUUCUAUGACGUUAGCGGCGGACGGGUGAGUAACACGUGGGCAACCUGCCUGUUAGACUGGGAUAACUUCGGGAAACCGAAGCUAAUACCGGAUAGGCUCUUCUCCUUCCUGGGAGAUGAUUGAAAGAUGGUUUCGGCUAUCACUUACAGAUGGGCCCGCGGUGCAUUAGCUAGUUGGGGAGGUAACGGCUCACCAAGGCAACGAUGCAUAGCCGACCUGAGAGGGUGAUCGGCCACACUGGGACUGAGACACGGCCCAGACUCCUACGGGAGGCAGCAGUAGGGAAUCUUCCGCAAUGGACGAAAGUCUGACGGAGCAACGCCGCGUGAGUGAUGAAGGCUUUCGGGUCGUAAAACUCUGUUGUUAGGGAAGAACAAGUACGAGAGUAACUGCUCGUACCUUGACGGUACCUAACCAGAAAGCCGCGGCUAACUACGUGCCAGCCGCCGCCGUAAUAC
rnacentral:rRNA from 1 species